rnacentral:rRNA from 1 species
AACUUUUAACAACGGAUCUCUUGGCUCUCGCAUCGAUGAAGAACGCAGCGAAAUGCGAUAAGUAAUGUGAAUUGCAGAAUUCAGUGAAUCAUCGAAUCUUUGAACGCACCUUGCGCUCUCUGGUAUUCCGGGGAGCACACCUGUUCGAGUGUAUU